GUUCGGCUGGACCGGUGACAGGUGCUGCAUGGCUGUCGUCAGCUCGUGUCGUGAGAUGUUGGGUUAAGUCCCGCAACGAGCGCAACCCCGCCUUCAGUUGCCAACGGUUCGGCCGUGCACUCUGGAGGAACUGCCUGUGACAAGCAGGAGGAAGGUGGGGAUGACGUCAAGUCCUCAUGGCCCUUAUGGGCUGAACUACACACGUGCUACAAUGGCGGUGACAGAGGGAUGCAAUACCGCGAGGUGGAGCAAAUCCCUAAAAGCCGUCUCAGUUCGGAUUGUUCUCUGCAACUCGAGAGCAUGAAGUUGGAAUCGCUAGUAAUCGCGGAUCAGCUCGCCGCGGUGAAUACGUUCCCGGGCCUU
rnacentral:rRNA from 1 species